rnacentral:tRNA from 1 species
GUCCAGUAGCUCAAUAGGCAGAGCAUUACCUGUUUAAGGUAAGGGUUAUUGGUUCGAAGCCAGUCUAGGACA